AAGCUUAGAGGUUGAAAAGUAUCCGCCUCUUCCAACGCGCCACCGAAAUGGUGGGAACAGAAAUGCGGGCGACCAAAGGCGGUCCCGCCUAAGCUU
rnacentral:ncRNA from 1 species